rnacentral:rRNA from 1 species
UACGUAGGGUGCAAGCGUUAUCCGGAAUUAUUGGGCGUAAAGAGCUCGUAGGCGGUUUGUCGCGUCUGCUGUGAAAACUGGAGGCUUAACCUCCAGCCUGCAGCGGGUACGGGCAGACUAGAGUGCGGUAGGGGAGAUUGGAAUUCCUGGUGUAGCGGUGGAAUGCGCAGAUAUCAGGAGGAACACCGAUGGCGAAGGCAGAUCUCUGGGCCGUAACUGACGCUGAGGAGCGAAAGCAUGGGGAGCGAACAGG